AUUGAACGCUGGCGGCAUGCUUUACACAUGCCAGUCGAACGGCAGCGCGGGCUUCGGCCUGGCGGCGAGUGGCGAACGGGUGAGUAAUGCAUCGGAACGUGCCCAGUAGUUGGGGAUAGCCCGGCGAAAGCCGGAUUAAUACCGCAUACGACCUGAGGGUGAAAGCGGGGGACCGAAAGGCCUCGCGCUCUUGGAGCGGCCGAUGUCGGAUUAGCUAGUUGGUGGGGUAAAGGCUUACCAAGGCGACGAUCCGUAGCUGGUCUGAGAGGACGACCAGCCACACUGGGACUGAGACACGGCCCAGACUCCUACGGGAGGCAGCAGUGGGGAAUUUUGGACAAUGGGGGCAACCCUGAUCCAGCCAUGCCGCGUGCGGGAAGAAGGCCUUCGGGUUGUAAACCGCUUUUGUUCGGGAAGAAAUCCUCUGGGCUAAUACCCCGGGGGGAUGACGGUACCGGAAGAAUAGGCACCGGCUAACUACGUG
rnacentral:rRNA from 1 species